UAUUGAACUCAGAGCUCCACCAGUUUUUUCAGGGUUCUGCAAGUCAAAGAAGGCUGGAUGCUGCUUCGUUAGAGAUCAGUUUUCGGGUGAUUCAACUUGCUUUUGCCUGUUUGUAGCUGAGAAAAUUCUGCCAUCUGCUGGAGAGAAGAAAAUCCGUUCUGGUUCCUGCAGCUGCAUCUCUUCCUGCAUCUCAUGCUCUCUUGGCCCAUUGUUGUUUCAGUAUUUUUUAUUUUUUAUUUUAAAAUUUAAGACGGUUUAAUUAUCCUGCAUGCACGAAAAUUUGUGUAAUUUGUGUGCAUACACAUGUUAAUAUCUUGGGCAUUAACUUUGGUUUUUAAUUCCCACUUCUGUUUCAGUGAGACAAACAUAGUCUAGCAUAAUUUGUACUAAUUAGAAGCUACAUGCAGAGAAAAAAGCUUACUUCAGCAUCUUCUAUUACUUCUUGAGGUAUAAGGUGAUUUGAUCUAGUACAUUUCUGAAAAGCAGGGUUUUCAUGCUGACUAGAAUAGAAUAAAGGCAAAUUAACUCAAUAGUAGCUCUCCAAUCCAGUCCAGCUCAUUACUUAUCACUUUGCAAUUUCCCACUAGUUUAUUCCUAGGGAGCACGACCAGCAGUUCUACCAGUGCCUUUGUCUGGGAACAGAAAUGGCUUUUGUCAGCUCUUCAGUAUUGCAGAAAUGAUGUGCUGGAGACCAAGCAUUUACAAGCUAACUGAACAUAGCUAUCUGCCAAAAAAAAAUAUGAAGGAACUUAGAUAUGAUCAACACUGCUUAAGGCUAUGCAAUGGUAUUGCAUCCAAUAUAGAAGACAGUCAUUGAAAGAAAAAAAUUAAGGGUGCAAGAAUCAUCCCAGGGAACAAGAAGACUCACAAAAGGAAACUGAGAAGAGAGCCUAGGUAAAAAAUGUAUAAUGAAAGGGCCAGCAGAUGUUGCCCACUGACUUGACAAGGGAUCAGAAAGAAGCCUCACAGCUAUGGAGGUUCCUUUCUCCCCCCACAAGUAGGCUCUGUCCUUUUGAGAGACAGGUUUAUGACUUUAAAUAUAUUUAUUCCAUUCUGUAACCGAGGAAAACACAACAUGUCAGCAAGAAACUCUGGAAAAGAAGGUUCAACCUGGAACAUCCUGAUUUUAAUGUCUUCCUUUCUUCCUAAAAAAUUGGCAUGUGAUAGAGGAAUUGUACCAAUGGGUUUUCCCCAGCCAGCAUCUUGGCCCCGUGCAACUGCUCACUCACACCCCCCACAGCCCCUCUGUGGGAUGGGGAGAGAAUCCAAAAGGUGACAAUGAGAAAACUUGUGGGUUGAGAUAGAGAUUUUAAUAGGGAAAACAGAAGCCAUGCAUAUAAGCAAAGCAAAAGAAGGAGUUCAUUCACUACUUCCCAGCAGCAGGCAGAAAGAACUGACAUUCCAUACAAUGUGAAUGUUUUACAUCUUUCAUGUUUACCAUUUGAUGGUAGGGUUGAUGCAUUGCUGUUUUCUAUUUCUUCACAACACCAAAACUAACCCGAAGAGAUCUGAGAAAAUGUACUGUGUGCAAGCUAAGUGGCAGGUGAAACAGGUGCAUUGGGUCUCCUUGCUGGAAGAACUCCCUCUCAACAGGAUUAUUGGAUUAAAAUCCUACUGAUACAGCUAAAUAUAAUCCUAUCAAGCUCAGCUCACUGUACAGGAGAAAUGUGAAGUUCUCUACAUGAAAGUUGGAGGCUAAAAACAGACACAUGGGGGGAAGGAGCUUCUCUAAGACAGAAGAGGAGCUGAUACAGCAGAUAUUUAAAGAAGACUUGUCAGACAAGAGCAUACUGAAAGCUGCAGAAAUGACAAACCAGAUCAGGGCUAAGAAUACUUGAACUGGUGAUGCAAAAGAAUAAAAAUAUGCGGGUACUUGAAAAAUGCCUGAGUUGAAUUAAAAAUCCUGUAACAUCAUGUCCUAAAUAACUAAAUAUAAUGCAGAAAAUCAGGACUGACAUAGCUCAUAGAGACAAGCUUAGAUCUAAAGGAGGGAGGAACAUUCUGCAGUGUCAAGGUCUGUGACAGAAUGACUAGUUCUGCAUCUAAUAAAAUAAAAAUGUGAUCUAACACU